GACGAGGCACUACGGUGCUGAAGCAACAAAUGCCCUGCUUCCAGGAAAAGCCUCUAAGCAUCAGGUAACAUCAAAUCGUACCCCAAACCGACACAGGUGGUCAGGUAGAGAAUACCAAGGCGCUUGAGAGAACUCGGGUGAAGGAACUAGGCAAAAUGGUGCCGUAACUUCGGGAGAAGGCACGCUGACACGUAGGUGAAGUGAUUUACUCAUGGAGCUGAAGUCAGUCGAAGAUACCAGCUGGCUGCAACUGUUUAUUAAAAACACAGCACUGUGCAAACACGAAAGUGGACGUAUACGGUGUGACGCCUGCCCGGUGCCGGAAGGUUAAUUGAUGGGGUCAGCGCAAGCGAAGCUCCUGAUCGAAGCCCCGGUAAACGGCGGCCGUAACUAUAACGGUCCUAAGGUAGCGAAAUUCCUUGUCGGGUAAGUUCCGACCUGCACGAAUGGCGUAAUGAUGGCCAGGCUGUCUCCACCCGAGACUCAGUGAAAUUGAACUCGCUGUGAAGAUGCAGUGUACCCGCGGCAAGACGGAAAGACCCCGUGAACCUUUACUAUAGCUUGACACUGAACAUUGAGCCUUGAUGUGUAGGAUAGGUGGGAGGCUUUGAAGUGUGGACGCCAGUCUGCAUGGAGCCGACCUUGAAAUACCACCCUUUAAUGUUUGAUGUUCUAACGUGGACCCGUGAUCCGGGUUGCGGACAGUGUCUGGUGGGUAGUUUGACUGGGGCGGUCUCCUCCUAAAGAGUAACGGAGGAGCACGAAGGUUGGCUAAUCCUGGUCGGACAUCAGGAGGUUAGUGCAAUGGCAUAAGCCAGCUUGACUGCGAGCGUGACGGCGCGAGCAGGUGCGAAAGCAGGUCAUAGUGAUCCGGUGGUUCUGAAUGGAAGGGCCAUCGCUCAACGGAUAAAAGGUACUCCGGGGAUAACAGGCUGAUACCGCCCAAGAGUUCAUAUCGACGGCGGUGUUUGGCACCUCGAUGUCGGCUCAUCACAUCCUGGGGCUGAAGUAGGUCCCAAGGGUAUGGCUGUUCGCCAUUUAAAGUGGUACGCGAGCUGGGUUUAGAACGUCGUGAGACAGUUCGGUCCCUAUCUGCCGUGGGCGCUGGAGAACUGAGGGGGGCUGCUCCUAGUACGAGAGGACCGGAGUGGACGCAUCACUGGUGUUCGGGUUGUCAUGCCAAUGGCACUGCCCGGUAGCUAAAUGCGGAAGAGAUAAGUGCUGAAAGCAUCUAAGCACGAAACUUGCCCCGAGAUGAGUUCUCCCUGAGACUUAGAGUCUCCUGAAGGAACGUUGAAGACGACGACGUUGAUAGGCCGGGUGUGUAAGCGCAGCGAUGCGUUGAGCUAACCGGUACUAAUGAACCGUGAGGCUUAACCUU
rnacentral:rRNA from 2 species